UAUCUUAACCUUUGCAUAUAAAUUUCCAAUAUUCUAAUUCAGCACCCAAAUGGCAGAUGCAGCGCUCCCAGUCUGGCUCGCACGAUGACACCCCAAAAGACAUCCCCCAAAAUGUGCGAGUGGACCUUGAUCGGUGUUGUCACACCCCGCUGAAAACAGGUCUCGAUCUGUCCGUUCAGCGAGCUAGUUGCAAGAUAUGCUUCUUGAUGUUUCUCUCACAGAGUGCGUGCGCGUGCUCAUUAUGACCGCUUGACCCUCAUUUUCGGAAUCUAUGAAUGAAAUUUGAGAGCUAUCGGUGUCUCUGAUUAUCAUCGCAUCGUCACGUGUGACGAACAGAUGAUAUCGACCGGUUUUUUGUUUCCGGAUUGAUUAAAGUAAGAGUUGAACUUGAAAGUUUGAUAAUCUGAUGGAUGCGCAUAUUGAUGGGGAUUUUAAGGAACUCUUUCAGAUACAACCUGAAAACUCUUGAUGCCUAUGGCUUGAAAUUGUUUUUACAAAUUUUGAAAAAUCUUGAUCUUAACCGCUAUGAAACAUCAAUUACAGCCUGUUUAGUUUAUGCUCUUCAGAAAGCCUGUACCAAGUUGCACAGCAGAGGAUACCGCCUCGAAGGUACACUCGUUUCGCCGUACACCGCAUAAAUCCACAAAGCUCGAAAUCCAAAUUUCAUUCACAGAUUUCGCCGAUGACGGUCAAGCACAUACUCCACUCACGCAAACCCACUUUUCAAGUGCAUCUCGCACAUAAGAGCGGUCGUACCUAUGCUAUGCUUUCGCACGCGAGUCGCACGCAUCCAUUUCAUAGAAGAAACGAGUUUAAUCCGUCUGGCCCGCGGGGGGUGUGCUGCGUUCGUGUGACAUCGAUGACCAAGGUCCAUUCAUUCGUUUUUCGGGGUAUGUUUGAAUCUCCGUGAACUGGCUAAUUUUUGCUAAUGUUUGACCACUCGUGCCGUAUAUUACAAUACUGGAAAAUUAUGGGCAAAGGCUGAAGAAGAUUUAUUUUUGGUUUUUGCAAAACCAGUUCGAACAUAGUUUUAGGUAGAAAUCGUGGAUUCGGUUACUUUAAAAAGUCUAGCGUCUUCUCCGGAAAGUAUCAGUUAACUCGGAACAGUGCUAUCAGAAAGUGUUACUUCCUCAGCAAGUCGGAAAACAAACAAAAAUCUACCAACAUGAAAUUCCUGAUCAUGACCAUCUGCCUGAUCGUGCUGGCAUUCGCUCUGGUGUCUGCAGCUACCAAUGAUGAAACCAUCCUGGGAGAACACGGUGCCGAUGAGGUAGUGAACCCACAGAACCCUUCGGAGAUCCUCUUCCUGAAGAAGAAAUUUCUGCUGAAGAAGCUGCUGCAUCUGGGUUAGAAACUAGAAUUCCACUGAUUAUGUACAACCUUUAGAUCAAUAGAUAAUUGACAUAUUUGUAAGAUAAUAUAACCUACCUUUACAUUACACCAUAA